ensembl:lncRNA ERVK13-1 endogenous retrovirus group K13 member 1
GGCGUCGCGGGCACAGCGUGAGGGCCGCCGUUGCUGGAGUUCAGCUUAGGGAAGGAGGACUCUGAGGAGGCCCCGAGCGGCGGAGCGCUUCGGGGGAGGCGCCCGCGCAGACGCGAGGCCCAUAGCCAGGACCACCACCUAGCUGAGGAACCGCCCUGGGCUUCCACCUGGAACGGGGUCCUUGGCGCCUCCGCCUGCGAGAGAAGCAGAAGGUGCAAGUUCUUGCUGAAAGCACCUGAUGCUCCUGGGCCCCCUUUUCCAGAUUCUUGAUGACAUUGGUCGGGAAAACUCGCCUUUCACGGCCCGGCCAAGGGGCAUUUGGGUGCUUUUGCUGCCCGUGGCUGUGCUCAGCGUUGUGGGAAGCCCCUGGGAGGCCGAAUGUGCAGGAUCACCGAGGGGAAAGUGAGCUUGACAGUUCUACAGUCUGGGGACGACGGUUUAAAAAUUUAUGCCUUGCAUGCGAUGUGCAGUGGGUGAUGGAAGAACGUCUACAUGGCUUUAAAAUUGGAUUUAAAAGGCAAAUAUUUUAAAUGAAGGAAAACCCAAGAAGUUUACUUGAUUCCUUAUCUUCCAGGAUGCGACUUUUGUUUAUUUAUUUAUUUUAUUUUGAUGGAGUCUCGCUGCCGUCGCGCAGGCUGGAGUGCAGUGACGCGAUCUUGACCCGGGAACCUCCACCUCCCGGGUUCAAGCGAUUCUCCUUCCUCAACCACCCGAGUAGCUGGGAUUACAGGCGUGUGCCACCAUGCCCGGCUAAUUUUUGUGUUUUUAGUAGAGACCGGGGAAGGUAUGGGCCCUCUUUUGAGAAAAAUGCAGAGUGACACUGAAUUUUGUAACUACAUCAGGAGGCUCUUGAACCUUCUGCAGCUCACUCGUGGAGUUUGUAGAGAUGCGUAAUAAUCCGAAGUGUUAAGGAAGAAGGUUCUGUUGAGAAAAAGUUGGAGGGCUGAAAGGGAUGCCUUUCGCUAUUUCGACAUGUGUGGCUGUACCCCAGAGUGCCCUGGCUAACACGCAAAACCAUGAAUUAGGCGGCUUGGCGAGGCUCAGUGGAGGCUGGGGCCGAGAGUCAUGUCAAAGUUUGUGGGGUUAACCUGCACCCAGUGACAGUCAUGGCGAAGUUUGUGAGGUUAACUCGCACCCAGUAACGCUGUUCCAAUGCAAGGUGUGUAUUUGGUGUCAUCCACGGGAAGAGGAAACAGCAAAUUUUCUCAUGGCCUUGGCAGUUCCACAUGAUGGACAUUUCAUAUCUGCAGUUUUCUUCGCAUGAGAUGGCUUUUUUGCACAAAAACACUGGAAUCCAGUGAGCAAGAAUGAUAGAAUGCAAGAUGGAUUUCCACAUGAGGAAGUGUCACGAACAAGCGUUUUGCAUCUCUGUCAGCUGGAUUCCCCCAUGUGUACGUAUGUGAGAACAUGCCGUGUUUCCUGUCUGUAAUGGUAGAGGCAGCCCUGAUACUGGAUUUUCACCUGAGGAUGGAUAGAUCUUCAGGGUUCAAGUGGGUUUGCAUCUGGACUUUAGGGUGGCCCUGUAGGCCCUGUGUGAGAAGCCCCCUUCCCAGUGAACUUUCCCUUGUGUGCCCGCGUGGACAGCCAACAGGGGGAGCAGUGCGAGCGUGAAGGCAGACAGUGGCCUGGCCCAGUCUGAUGGUGCAGAAGCUGAGCUGCAGAGGCGUUAGGUACCUGCCUCAUAAGUGGUAGAGACUCCAGUGUCACCCUGCCCCUCACGUUCGGAGCCCCCGAGGGAGGGUCUGCCGGGCAGCUCAGCCCAGCACUCUGUAAGGAAAUCUUCAGUGCCACUGCCCAGGAUGUCUUCCCGGGGAUUGGGCCUGAAUGUCUUGACCAUGCCGUGCUGGAGGGAGAGACCCACCGACCCUGUGGGGCUGGUCCCUACAUCUGGCGCUCUGACGUGGGGCUCUCCCUCGCUGUGUGAAGUUGCACCCUGAGUGCGGGAUCAGCGGAGGAGUUCAACGAGAGAUUCCUGAGGAUUGCAGUCUAUAAACUUGGUGGAAAAGAACUACAGCCUGUGUGGGUCCCCUCCCGACAAUUAAAAUUGCACCAUAACUCCAAAGAUGAAACGCUCCCAGAAAGAAAAGGCAAAGACCCAUCGGAAACAAAAGAGCAACUUUCACCGCCUGAUACAUACACUUCAUGACAUCCACAUUGAGACAAAAUCUCGCCGUGUGACCUACAACACCUCUCGUUCAACCCCACCUACUUGGGGUCGAAUACAGAUUUUAUCUCAUCAAACAGAAAAAUUCUUAACAGAAAAAGGAAUCCCAAAAAUGACUGGUAAUAUAAUUCUGGCUGCCUUUAUGGUAGUCAGUGCAGCGUCUGCAGAUGCCUCUAAGGAGUCCGAAACCAAGUCCGAAGUCAACAACAAGCAAUGAUGGCGAUGGCGAUUCUAGUUAAUAAAAAGGGGGGAGAUGUGGGCGGCAAGCCACCCAGGCACCGAGGCAAGAGACAGAGGACACGAGCUGUUCCAGUAUAAUAAAAUAUAAAACAAGAAUAGUUAUACCAGAUAUAGAUCUUAGAUAUGAUUAUAUACGAAUAUCAUUAAUCAUGAGUUUGUAGCAAUUACUUUUUAUUCCAAUAUUAUGAUAAUCCUCGCUCUAUAAUCAUAGCCUAGGAAAAACCAGGCCAUACAGAGAUAGGAGCUGAGGGGACAUAGUGAAGUGUGACCAGAAGACAAGAGUGCGAGCCUUCUGUUAUGCCCGGACAGGGCCACCAGAGGGCUCCUUGGUCUAGCGGUGACGCCAGCGUCUGGGAAGACACCCGUUACCAGGCGGAUCGUGGCCCAGCCGUAGCAAAAGGUGUCAAGGAACACCUUUUGCAAAAGGUGUCAACACCCGCUACUUAGCAGACUGGGAAAGGGGGGCGGUCUCCCUUUCCCCGGGGGAGUUUAGAGAAGACUCUGUUCCUCCACCUCUUGUGGAGGGCCUGACAUCAGUCAGGCUUGCCCGUAGUUAUCCGGAGGCCUAACUGUCUCCCUGUGAUGCUGUGCUUCAGUGGUCACGCUCCUAGUCUGCCUUCAUUUUCCAUCCUGUACACCUGGCUCUGCCUUCUAGAUAGCAGUAGUAAAUUAGUGAAAAUACUAAUAGUCCCUGAUAUGCAGAAAUAAUGGCAUAAGCUGUCUUUCUCUCUGUCUCCUCUCCCUCUCUGCCUCGGCUGCCAGGCAGGGAAGGGCCCCCUGUCCAGUGGACACAUGACCCAUGUGACCUUACCUAUCAUUGGAGGUGACUCACAUUCUUUACCCUGCCCCUUCUGCCUUGUAUCCAAUAACAGCGCAGUCAGACAUUCAGGGCCACUACCGGUCUCCGCACAUUGGUGGUAGUGGUCCCCCGGGCCCAGCU